GGUUAAGCGACUAAGCGUACACGGUGGAUGCCCUGGCAGUCAGAGGCGAUGAAGGACGUGCUAAUCUGCGAAAAGCGCCGGCGAGGUGAUAUGAACCUUUGACCCGGCGAUGUCCGAAUGGGGAAACCCAGUGUGAUUCGUCACACUAUCGUUAACUGAAUACAUAGGUUAACGAGGCGAACCGGGGGAACUGAAACAUCUAAGUACCCCGAGGAAAAGAAAUCAACCGAGAUUCCCCCAGUAGCGGCGAGCGAACGGGGAGCAGCCCAGAGUCUGAAUCAGCUUGUGUGUUAGUGGAAGCGUCUGGAAAGUCGCACGGUACAGGGUGACAGUCCCGUACACGAAAAUGCACAGGUUGUGAACUCGAAGAGUAGGGCGGGACACGUGGUAUCCUGUCUGAAUAUGGGGGGACCAUCCUCCAAGGCUAAAUACUCCUGACUGACCGAUAGUGAACCAGUACCGUGAGGGAAAGGCGAAAAGAACCCCGGCGAGGGGAGUGAAAAAGAACCUGAAACCGUGUACGUACAAGCAGUGGGAGCACCUUCGUGGUGUGACUGCGUACCUUUUGUAUAAUGGGUCAGCGACUUAUAUUCUGUAGCAAGGUUAACCGUAUAGGGGAGCCGAAGGGAAACCGAGUCUUAACUGGGCGUUAAGUUGCAGGGUAUAGACCCGAAACCCGGUGAUCUAGCCAUGGGCAGGUUGAAGGUUGGGUAACACUAACUGGAGGACCGAACCGACUAAUGUUGAAAAAUUAGCGGAUGACUUGUGGCUGGGGGUGAAAGGCCAAUCAAACCGGGAGAUAGCUGGUUCUCCCCGAAAGCUAUUUAGGUAGCGCCUCGUGAACUCAUCUUCGGGGGUAGAGCACUGUUUCGGCUAGGGGGCCAUCCCGGCUUACCAACCCGAUGCAAACUACGAAUACCGAAGAAUGUUAUCACGGGAGACACACGGCGGGUGCUAACGUCCGUCGUGAAGAGGGAAACAACCCAGACCGCCAGCUAAGGUCCCAAAGUCAUGGUUAAGUGGGAAACGAUGUGGGAAGGCACAGACAGCCAGGAUGUUGGCUUAGAAGCAGCCAUCAUUUAAAGAAAGCGUAAUAGCUCACUGGUCGAGUCGGCCUGCGCGGAAGAUGUAACGGGGCUAAACCAUGCACCGAAGCUGCGGCAGCGACACUAUGUGUUGUUGGGUAGGGGAGCGUUCUGUAAGCCGUUGAAGGUGUGCUGUGAGGCAUGCUGGAGGUAUCAGAAGUGCGAAUGCUGACAUAAGUAACGAUAAAGCGGGUGAAAAGCCCGCUCGCCGGAAGACCAAGGGUUCCUGUCCAACGUUAAUCGGGGCAGGGUGAGUCGACCCCUAAGGCGAGGCCGAAAGGCGUAGUCGAUGGGAAACAGGUUAAUAUUCCUGUACUUGGUGUUACUGCGAAGGGGGGACGGAGAAGGCUAUGUUAGCCGGGCGACGGUUGUCCCGGUUUAAGCAUGUAGGCGGAGGUUCCAGGUAAAUCCGGUACCUUUUAACGCUGAGGUGUGAUGACGAGGCACUACGGUGCUGAAGUAACAAAUGCCCUGCUUCCAGGAAAAGCCUCUAAGCAUCAGGUAACAUCAAAUCGUACCCCAAACCGACACAGGUGGUCAGGUAGAGAAUACCAAGGCGCUUGAGAGAACUCGGGUGAAGGAACUAGGCAAAAUGGUGCCGUAACUUCGGGAGAAGGCACGCUGAUAUGUAGGUGAAGCCCCUGCGGGUGGAGCUGAAAUCAGUCGAAGAUACCAGCUGGCUGCAACUGUUUAUUAAAAACACAGCACUGUGCAAACACGAAAGUGGACGUAUACGGUGUGACGCCUGCCCGGUGCCGGAAGGUUAAUUGAUGGGGUUAGCGGCAACGCGAAGCUCUUGAUCGAAGCCCCGGUAAACGGCGGCCGUAACUAUAACGGUCCUAAGGUAGCGAAAUUCCUUGUCGGGUAAGUUCCGACCUGCACGAAUGGCGUAAUGAUGGCCAGGCUGUCUCCACCCGAGACUCAGUGAAAUUGAACUCGCUGUGAAGAUGCAGUGUACCCGCGGCAAGACGGAAAGACCCCGUGAACCUUUACUAUAGCUUGACACUGAACACUGGUCCUUGAUGUGUAGGAUAGGUGGGAGGCUUUGAAGUGUGGACGCCAGUCUGCAUGGAGCCGUCCUUGAAAUACCACCCUUUAAUGGCUGGUGUUCUAACGUAGACCCGUAAUCCGGGUUGCGGACAGUGUCUGGUGGGUAGUUUGACUGGGGCGGUCUCCUCCCAAAGAGUAACGGAGGAGCACGAAGGUUAGCUAAUCCUGGUCGGACAUCAGGAGGUUAGUGCAAUGGCAUAAGCUAGCUUGACUGCGAGAGUGACGGCUCGAGCAGGUGCGAAAGCAGGUCAUAGUGAUCCGGUGGUUCUGAAUGGAAGGGCCAUCGCUCAACGGAUAAAAGGUACUCCGGGGAUAACAGGCUGAUACCGCCCAAGAGUUCAUAUCGACGGCGGUGUUUGGCACCUCGAUGUCGGCUCAUCACAUCCUGGGGCUGAAGUAGGUCCCAAGGGUAUGGCUGUUCGCCAUUUAAAGUGGUACGCGAGCUGGGUUUAGAACGUCGUGAGACAGUUCGGUCCCUAUCUGCCGUGGGCGCUGGAGAAUUGAGGGGGGCUGCUCCUAGUACGAGAGGACCGGAGUGGACGCAUCACUGGUGUUCGGGUUGUCAUGCCAAUGGCACUGCCCGGUAGCUAAAUGCGGAAAAGAUAAGUGCUGAAAGCAUCUAAGCACGAAACUUGCCCCGAGAUGAGUUCUCCCUGAGACUUUAAGUCUCCUGAAGGAACGUUGAAGACGACGACGUUGAUAGGUCGGGUGUGUAAGCGCAGCGAUGCGUUGAGCUAACCGAUACUAAUGAACCGUGAGGCUUAACCUU
rnacentral:rRNA from 1 species